UACGGGGGGGGCAAGCGUUGUUCGGAAUUACUGGGCGUAAAGGGCCAGUAGGCGGCCAACUAAGUCCGACGUGAAAUCCCCAGGCUUAACCUGGGAACUGCGUCGGAUACUGGAUGGCUUGAAUUCGGGAGAGGGAUGCAGAAUUCCAGGUGUAGCGGUGAAAUUCGUAGAUAUCGGGAGGAACACCAGUGGCGAAGGCGGAGACCUGGGGAGAUACUGACGCUGAGGUGCGAAAGCGUGGGGAGCAAACAGG
rnacentral:rRNA from 1 species